CCAAUCAGUCGCAACUUGACGCCUGAAGCGCACGCAAGCAGCGAGCGGAAGUCUACGUCGUCUACGUACAAGACAAGAUCUCGAUAUCGAACUCGAAUUCGAGCUCGAACAGUGGCCAGCUUUGGCGUACGCCGCAGCAACAAUAACAACGUCAUAUCAAGUGGAAGUGUAAAGUGUACAGAAAACGAAUGAGAGUUAAAU